rnacentral:rRNA from 1 species
CGGGACGGGUGAGUAAUGUCUGGGAAACUGCCUGAUGGAGGGGGGUAACUACUGGAAACGGUAGCUAAUACCGCAUAACGUCGCAAGACCAAAGAGGGGGACCUUCGGGCCUCUUGCCAUCGGAUGUGCCCAGAUGGGAUUAGCUAGUAGGUGGGGUAACGGCUCACCUAGGCGACGAUCCCUAGCUGGUCUGAGUGGAUGACCAGCCACACUGGAACUGAGACACGGUCCAG